ensembl:miRNA microRNA 130a
UGCUGCGGGCCGGAGCUCUUUUCACAUUGUGCUACUGUCUGCGCCUGUCACUAGCAGUGCAAUGUUAAAAGGGCAUUGGCUGUGCAGCG